CGGUUUAUGGUGCAGGGGUUAGCAUGCAAGUCUGGGGGACUUGAGGUCGGCGGUUCGAAUCCGCCUAAACCGA
rnacentral:tRNA from 1 species